CAGCCGUCCAUAGUCGAGACUAGCAUCUACACCAGCAUCAUACAGUACACAUACGAAAAAAGUGGCAUCUUUUGAUCCAUUCUAUGCGAACAUUACAAUAACAGCUAGUCAUCUUGGUAAGGCGGUGAUGUUUGAGUUCUCCACUAUUGCUAAAGGUCUUGGGGAAGCUGAUGUGAAUGGCAUGAUGAAACCUGUUC
rnacentral:sRNA from 1 species